UACAGAGGGGGCAAGCGUUGUUCGGAAUUACUGGGCGUAAAGGGCGCGUAGGCGGCCUUCUAAGUCGAACGUGAAAUCCCUGGGCUCAACCCAGGAACUGCGUCCGAUACUGGAAGGCUUGAAUCCGGGAGAGGGAUGCGGAAUUCCAGGUGUAGCGGUGAAAUGCGUAGAUAUCUGGAGGAACACCGGUGGCGAAGGCGGCAUCCUGGACCGGUAUUGACGCUGAGGCGCG
rnacentral:rRNA from 1 species